rnacentral:lncRNA from 1 species
UAGAAUUCUAUCAUGUAGUUUAGCUUCUAAUCACAUAAUCAUUUUUAUGAUAUUUGUUAACAUAUAUCAAUAUAUACUACGUUUUGGCAAAGUAUAAACAAACUCUAUCAUUUUUAAUUUAGACUCCCAUACCACCUUUAGUGCCCAUCAUUGGAACAAUGUCUGCACUUAAAUGCGCCUAAACCACUUAUGUAACCACACGGAG